rnacentral:rRNA from 1 species
CGCAUCUGUGCAUGCAGCAUAUCAAUAAGCGGAGGAAAAGAAACUAACAAGGAUUCCCUUAGUAACGGCGAGUGAAGCGGGAGGAGCUCAAAUUUGAAAUCUUCAAGGUUUUACCUUGACGAAUUGUAGUUUAAAGAAGCUGUUUUCUGUUGAAGUUUUGGUAAAAGUUCUUUGGAAUAGGACAUCAUAGAGGGUGAGAAUCCCGUAUUUGACCAUUAUUUUCAGCUGUGUGAUACACUUUCAAAGAGUCGGAUUGUUUGGGAAUGCAGUCCAAAAUGGGUGGUAAAUUUCAUCUAAAGCUAAAUAUUGGCGAGAGACCGAUAGCGAACAAGUACCGUGAGGGAAAGAUGAAAAGAACUUUGAAAAGAGAGUUAAACAGUACGUGAAAUUGUCAAAAGGGAAGCGUUUGACACCAGUGUUGUUUUCUCGAAAAUCAAUUAAAAAGAGUUUAGAUUUUGUUGUGUAUUGACCUUAACAGCUUGCAUUUCAAUCUUCUUGCUUUUUUUAAUGCACUUUUCGUUUAACAAGUCAACAUCAGUUUCUUUUGUUGUAAAAAGGUCAUUGGAAGGUGGCUUUCUUUUCGGAGAAAGUGUUUAUAGCCUUUGACUCCUGCAAUCGGAGAGACUGAGGUCUGCAGCGUAGAUCCUUCGGGGUUAGAUACAUUUGUGCUAAGUUAUAGCUUUUUAUAGACAACUUGUUGACUAUGAUUAGUCUUGUAGCUUACUCGCUUAUGCUAUUUUACCUACGCUUAGGAUGUUGAUGUGAUACUGCGAGCA